rnacentral:rRNA from 1 species
UACGAAGGGUGCAAGCGUUACUCGGAAUUACUGGGCGUAAAGGGCGCGUAGGCGGCCUGCUAAGUCGAACGUGAAAUCCCCGGGCUCAACCCGGGAACUGCGUCCGAUACUGGCAGGCUUGAAUCCGGGAGAGGGAUGUGGAAUUCCAGGUGUAGCGGUGAAAUGCGUAGAUAUCUGGAGGAACACCGGUGGCGAAGGCGGCAUCCUGGACCGGUAUUGACGCUGAUGCGCGAAAGCCAGGGGAGCAAACGGG